CCUACGGGAGGCAGCAGUGAGGAAUAUUGGUCAAUGGCCGGGAGGCUGAACCAGCCAAGUCGCGUGAGGGAAGACGGCCCUACGGGUUGUAAACCUCUUUUGUCAGGGAGCAAGGUGCAGGUCGGGACCUGCUGUGAGCGUACCUGAAGAACAAGCAUCGGCUAACUCCGUGCCAGCAGCCGCGGUAAUACGGAGGAUGCGAGCGUUAUCCGGAUUUAUUGGGUUUAAAGGGUGCGCAGACGGAGGCACAAGUCAGCGGUAAAAGCGCGGGGCUCAACCCCGCUCCGCCGUUGAAACUGUGUCCCGGGAGUGCGCGAAGGGUAGGCGGAAUGCGAGGUGUAGCGGUGAAAUGCAUAGAUAUCACGCAGAACGCCGAUCGCGAAGGCAGCCUACCGGAGCGCAACUGACGCUCAUGCACGAAAGCGUGGGUAUCGAACAGGAUUAGAUACCCUUGUAGUC
rnacentral:rRNA from 1 species